rnacentral:snoRNA from 1 species
GUGAGGGAGACUAGUGGCGCACCCUUCUCCUUGGGUCUCUCAGUGUACUCCUGCCAGAGGAAACUGCGGCCUCGGACCAUUGCCCAGCCUGAUGACCAAGGGCUGUGCGCACUGACAGGCCGCACAUGC